rnacentral:lncRNA from 1 species
GAACAAAUCAGCUCUUUAUUGCAAUCUAUUGGGGUACAAGGGGAUUACAUCGGCACGGCGAUGCUACGCCUACCACGGUUGCUCUAUGCAAGCAGUAGAACAACACGACACAGCGGAAUGACUACUGGCAGCGGAACAACGACGGCGGUGGUGAACUCCACUCCGCAGGGACUCUGGCUGGAACGCUUAUCCAAGCGCGCAAACAAGGGAUCCAUGACAAACUAGCAAUCAUAUCCGGCAUGACCUGCAAACUGGCAUGACAUGCCAGGUCAGUACAUGGAAUGUACUUGCAAGCUCAGAGCAACCAAAGCAAUCAAGACAAACAAUAGCAUGGCAAUUACAUGUUAACAAGGAUUAACAUGAUACUAUCAGAUCAAUCAUAGCAUGAACAAGAUGAUACAACUACAACAAUACGAGCAUGGCAUAAACAUAUGAACUUGAUGAUACUAGCAUGCAACAUGAUGAACUAUCAAGCACCAACUUACUCUGUUCGGGUUACAUUGUAACCAUCACCUGUAUCACUUACCAUCACGGACAUCACAUAAUCAUCUCAGGAUCCAAUCAAGCUUGGUAUUAACAAUACCGUAGUAAUCAUACAUGACUACAAGGAGCUUGACCUUUGCCCUUGACUCUCGCAUAACACCACAAAUAUCCAACAAGUCGGUAUUCACGAUAUCACAGUGAUCCUCUCACGAUCACAUAAAUAUCAACCAACUUCUUUCAUCAUCGAACCGGGGUUGUUAUUAAUCAAAUUAUUAUUAUUACUGUUGACCCAUAGUGUGACCGACACGAACUGGGCCCAUAUCCGCGGGCGCGGCUAUCGAUAGAUUAAACACACACUCUGCAGAGGUUAGCACACUGUACCCACACCACGGAACCCAUGGUCUCGCACUCCCAUACGUGCGGACACGGCGUCCCGACAAAACCGAUCUACUGCCAUGACACUCUCCCGGCUACUCCGACCGACACCGCCUUGGGGUUCAGUCCUGGGUGGCCCCGUGUCUACCAAAGACACCAACGGCCACCGUCGUGGGAAAACGGUCCCAAACGGGGACAAGGUAUACCAUAAAAACAAAAAUGAGCACAGAAGGUUAUGUCCGCCUACCUGAUCAGGGUAGCGCGUGCCCAUAACCUUCCCUCGCGGGAGGCACCGGCGAGAGGCAUGACAAUAGACCCGGUUAGGACCCUCCCAUAGGGUAAGCGUGGUUGCACUGGUCAGAUCGAUAUGGUGGCACCAUGACUCAGCCAACAGUUGUUCAAGUUCAAUUUAAUCCGGUUAAACUUGAAUGCAAUAUGCUGAGCCAUGAUAAAAUAACAUUAUGCAACUACAAUGCAUGAACAUGAUAUCAAAAUAAGCAUGGAGGUGCAACAUAAUCAACGAGCAUAGCAACAACAUGUAACCAGUUAUCCAGAUGAGCAUGGCAUACUGACGAGCAUGAAUAUGACCACUAGCAUCAAUAAUAAAUACCAUGCAAUAACAUGACGAUAAACUACCAUGCAAGUAUUUAAUCAACUGGAUGUAAAGAAACAUGCAUAACGGCGGUACUCGGAAGAGACGAUAGUCAUGUACCGAAGACCGUCACCAACAUGUACUACCACCAAACAUUGCCAAUAUUAAAGUAAUACUAGCAUGAAAAACAUAAUAACAGAGUGCAAGAAAACAUAGCAUGACGGUAAACAUUGAUCCAUAAGCAUAACCGAAAUACCGACAGUAGUAGCAAAACAAACAGACAGUUAAUAAAGAUUCAAGUCGAAAACCAAUGCUUCUGCAUGGCUAUCAUGCAAAUGGUGGUUGUGGCUUGCCUGGGGAUGGGGAAGGCUCCGGGAAGAAGUGCGGAAUGACCGCGGAAGGAAUCGCCGGAAAAGGUACUCUCUCGGAGGGGGCUGAUUAAGCAUAAGGGCAAAAUGGUCAUUUUCAGAAUGUUGAAACAUAGUGAAAAUGAUACCAAAAGUUCGGGCUCGACAAGAGGAAGAAGUGGGCUUUGGAAUCACCUAAAUCGGAGUUGUGGUUGAAAAGAUAUAGAGGUUUGACUGCCAGGGACCUAUCUGUAAAAAUAUAUCCACAAACUAGCCCCUGAGUGGAAAAAUAGAAAACGCAUUUGACAGAAUAAGCUUUCCUGAACGGAAAAGGCUUUCCUGGCCUAAGCCGCACGAAAAUUCGCUUUUCUAACGGGAAAACGUAUAUACGCAAAUGCGCUUCCACUUUUCCACUUUGGCAGUGGCGGGGCCGCGGCUUGGCUCACUGACGUGCGGGGCCCGCGGCCAGCUGGAAGGGAGGGGCGUGGGCGUCGUCUUCCUCCUCGCUCCUGCCCGUGAGGCAGAGACAGGGCGUGGCUCCGGCGACUUGCUCCAGCGACACAGAACACCUCCGGCGAUGCUCCGGCCACGGGAGAGCUCGGGGUGACGAGGCGCAUCCAUCCCGCGGUGGCGCAGUCCUCGGGGAGGGCGGGGUUGAGAGCAGCUUUGACCGCGGCGGUAGAGGGCAACGACGGCGGCCAAAGUUGGGGACGCGUGGCCACGGUAGUCCCGACGACAAACUAAGGGGUUGGUGAGGCUCUUGGUGGUCCGUGGAGUGCUAUGGUAGCGACAGAACGGAGGGGGAGGCUCGGCUUCGACCAAAUUUAAGAGGUCAGAGGCGACGGCCAUGGCGGCGAUGUCGAGCACCGAAAGCUUCUCGAGCUCGGGCAAGAAGUGGGGCGGGGCUAGAGGAGGUGCAGGAGGCGAGUGGUGAAGAGAAAGGGCCUCGGGGUGGCUUUAUAUAGCCGGGCGAGGCGGUUCGAGCUUGGGUGCCGCCGCGGACGCGUGUGCUCGUGCAUGGGCUCGAAGGUAGACUACGGAGGGGAACGGGGAAGAGGCUCACGGGGGCAGAGGCGGCCAAGGGAGCACGGGGAGGAAGCGGCCAAGGCGCGGACGGAGCCGGUCGGCUACAACGCUCCCGUGGGCGCUCACUGUUUGGCGACGGGGACGGGUCACCGGGGAAGCAAACGGAGGGGGCAAGGGCUCCAGAGGGACGGAGACAACGCGGGGAACACGCUGGACACGGUCGGGCGAGGAAUGGACGAGUGCACAGACGGGGAGAAGGAGACAGAGGCGCUAGAGCGCGAGAAACGCCAUGCCGAAAGGGUGGUCACCGCGUAGACUGGCAAGGAUAAGAGGCCAAGCGCUGUCAUGAGAUGUCUAGUGAUUAGUCCCUGCAUAACAGAGGACAAGGGAGGUGAUGGAUCACACAGAAGUGUAGGGAGCAGAGGGGAGCAAGCUCGACAAGGUUUCUGUAUCAAAUUUGGACGAGUACUGCUGAUCAACAGGGAGCUAAUUGGGUCAAAUGGUGUUGUCUGGGAGGUUUAUAUUAAGAAGGACUACGGUUCUGGAAAAGUUGAGGUGAUUUGGACCAAUGCUUAAUAUAGUUGCUUCACAACUGCCUAAAUUGGUCCAGAAUAGAAAUCAUGAUGAUGCACUCAAAUAGUGAAGCCACUUGAGCUGAACUUGGGCAGGGAAGAGUUAUUUGGUCAUAUGAAGAUGCUGAAAAAGGUUUCAAACCAUUUGGAUAAACCAAAAUGGUACUUCCUUCACAAACAUCCCCACUGACCAGAAACUUGCAGAAAUUCUAGAGGGAAAAUGGCUAAAUAGAUUGCACCACAACUUUGUGGAGGGAGUUUAUAUCGAUAGGAGAAGGCCUAGAAAACUUUACAGACAUAAUGAAGCAAGAUAAAAUAUACUUGCUUCACAAACUGAAUUUUUGGACAGAAUCAAAGAUUUGAAGCUGUGCUCACAUGGAGGCAUUAAAUGAUGUCCACUUUGGUUGAGGGCUAAUAUUUGAUGAUAUGUAGAACCAUGCAAAAGGGCAACUCAUUUGGAUAUGCCUAUCUUGUACCUCCUUGACAAAGUUUCUUUCUGGACAGAAACUUUGGAAAAUCAUAAUUAAAAUAAUACUAGGCAAAUGAGGUUGCAUUUUGGCAUGUGGCAAUGCUAUGGACAGGAAAAGGUGUCCAAGGAGUUUGAGGUCAAUUGGGCAAAGGAAAAUAGAACUUGCUUAACAAUGUGCCAUUUAGGGCAGAAUAGGAAAUGAAUUAUUUGAGCAUGAUGAUAAACAUGGCAAAUGAAAUGUUUUGCCAUAUUUGAGGAAUAUAUGACCCCAAAAAUUUAUGAGAAUUAUUUGAAAAUUUUAGGAGUGAUGGAAAUAUAGGUUGCUUCACAACCUAGGGCAAAAAGGAUGAUUCCUUUAAUAGAAAAGGAAUAUUCCCAAUAAAAAGACUAUUGGGAUAUGGGCUAGGAUGAAGAUGGAAAGGUCUAGGGCUAGAUUUGGGGAUGACAAGCCACUCUGGAAGCAAAGAAGAGUUCAUCUUCUUCAGUUUCCAGACCACAAAGCCACGGAGAAAGAAAACUCAAGCAAAAAUCUCAGAAAACAAAUGAAAAAGAAAGGGCCAAAAAUCAGGCUGUGACAAACCUUCCCCCCUUAAAGAAAUCUCGUCCUCGAGAUUUGGUUGCUCAAGAAACAAGUAUGAAUAUACUGACUUAAGGAAACCGUUUCCAACUCGGGUAUCCUUUUUCCUUUGUUGAUUGUUCCCAUUAAAGUCUUCAUCUGACUUGCCUGACUGGCUCUGAGGCGGUUUGGCUUCACUGUAUCCAUAUCCUGACAGAUCUUAACUCACACGUUCUACUUAUACUGGCUCCAAUUCUGUUCAUAUCUGCUGACUUAGCUGAGAUUACCAUGACUGAAAUAUCUGUGUGUCUCACAAAUCCAAGAGUGAUUUCUGAUUGCUAUGUCUGUACUGACAACUGUCCAUGAAUUGGUGAUCAGAUUUUCUUGAUGAACACCCAAGCUCUGACUCCUUGCAUUGGGUUCCUCCAUUAAAUCCAGGUCCUUCGGAUUCCAAACAGUGAGUUGAGGCGUAACCGCUUUUCCUGACAGAUUCUGGCUUAUCGCAGGAAUUUCUGAACCAUGCUGACUGGCUCCACUGUCUUGAGUCUCAGAUUCAUUCCAAAUAUUUAACUGUCGUCUGUCCAGGCUAUCCGUUGAUGCUUCACAUAAGGGAGGGCACAUGCUUCCAGACUGUUAUUCACCAUCCAAAACCAAGCAGACCCUUUUGGUGAGUAUCCAUGGCGGUCGAUCCUGACUCAGACUGUCUGGGGUAUCUGCACCAUUUUCAUAUCCGCACCACUGGUCUUGCUCCUUCAUUACUGUUUUCUGUGUAUGGAUCCUUGGCUGAAAGAGCUUGGUCAUAUUGCUUCUUCGGGUGACCAUAGGUUUUGUCGAGUGCAACAUUCUGACCGGGGGAAAAUGAUCAUCUGAACCCUUUCAAGAAAUCGGCAAAUAAAUCAGUAGCCACCAGAACGGUCUUUACAACUCAGAUCUGGGACAUUACUGAAGUAACUCAACCACGGCUCAAGACGGCCGAAAAGCGGCUCAGAGCAGGAGACCGUGUUGAUAAGAAGAAAGUGGCAGCUCCCUAAGAUAGACGAAAAGUAGCUAAAAGCAUAGGGCCACUGUCACAAAAAGAAACUCAACAGCUAUACGAGACGGCCGGAAAGCAGCUCAGAACUCGUGACAGUUGUUGAAUAGAGAAAUAUAAAGUCGGCAUCCACCCCGUAUGGCCAAAAACGGCUCAGAGCAUAGGCGUGGUGCCGUUACCAGAGAAAAGAAGACAAUGGCUCAUCAGGAUCAUAUUCCAGGUUCACCUGUAUUUGUAUAGAGCUCAGUGUUGUCGUCAAUCCUCAUAGUCCUUUGUCACACUGAGGUGUAUAUCUGGCUUCCUUCACAUAUAUCUGAGAAUCUGAUUCCCGAGGCAGACUUGUGUUCUGACUGAUUCUUGCUUCUGACCAACUGUUGCGGAUCUGAUUUUGCCAUCUGCUGUCAAUUCACAUUGUACUAUCUUGCACCAGUGCCGUAUUGAGGACGAUUGGAUGGCUUAUGCUGAAAACCAUCGAGAGUAUCUUGCUGAGGAAGACUGGGCUUCGUGCUGAAACAGGAAUUACUGGACCAUCCUCCUUUCUGAGUAUGUGGCACAUCCUUGCUUUCUUCCAGGCAUAUCAUGUUUCAAAAUCAUCCUCCACGAAGAAUCAAACCUUGUAUUUGAACCAUACCUUUGACUGAAAUUGCACUGUUGGUCUUGCACAUAGCUUAUCUUCUUGCUGAUCUGAUUAUCCGUAUCACGAUCAGAUAUCCCCAGAUCUCAAUGCAGUCGGCUGAGAAUUCCAUACUGAUGCAAACCUGAUACUGACAGCCCAUCCAGGAUUUCUUUUGCCUUCGGCCAAGAUUUUCCCAAUUUCACUGUUGUCUGGUGAUGACUUCAUUCCGUGUAUCUGAGCUUCCAAACCUUUGAAUUCCUUGUUGAUUCUUCAAGUCCGGUGUUGGUUGACAAGCAACUUUAAUGAGGGGAAAAUAAUGCCACACCGAAGGCCCAAAGAAGGAAGCAAAAGAAACGACUAAAACAAAAGCACACGAGCAUACAAUUAAUAUAAAUAAUCAAGCAACAUCACAUAUUACUACUAAUCACACAAUAAUAUGCAUGCACACCUAAGCACACAAGUCUCACGGAAACUCCGGUAUUGCGAUCUAAUAUGUUGUGGCGGUGUGCACGAAGUGAAUUCACGUGUGGAAGGAGUUGGUGUAACCAAGGCUACACCAAGCGCUGGCUGAACACCGGUCGCAAUCGGAUGGAUACGGGGCGAGGACGGACUUGGUGAUCAAGUAGCGAGACACAAGGUCACGACCACGUCAUCAUCAAGCGUACGAAGGGGAACCGUACACGUCCAAAGAAUGGGAUGACAGGGCAUUAUAGCAGUGGAAAGCAGGGCUUUGCUGGCAUUGCCCUUUUCUGAUAACAAAGAUCAGUAAGGGUUGCCAGAGGGACGGGAUGGAAGGCACGAUUCGGGAUAGAGGCAAAUCUAUCACCGAAAUAAUAUGGGUGGGUGGCGAAAAGAUAUCGACGCGAUACCUGAGCAUAACUCCUGCAAAUGGUGUCUAGAACACUAGGUACCAGGGCAUCACUCUGCUGGGACAGAGAUGACGCCGAACACCGGAGAGCAGGCAUGCUAAGAAAGAGGGUGCAGGUAGUGGAUCGAAGACGACGCCACCUACACUCACAAGAGUAACUGUUAGCGACAAGAAAAUGAUCUAUAUGCAUGCUAUGCAACAAACAAAUGCAGCAAUCAAGUGCAACAAACCAACGAGGCUCUAUACUACCGCAUACUAACGUUCGCGCGGGCUAGGGCAUCCUACAGCCAAAUCUGCUCUGAUACCAAGCCUGUGGCACCCCGACUCAGAGAAACCGGAACGCCCCGUAUUCAAGCCCAGAGAUCGAGGAGAAGUCUUCUGGAAUAUGGCACUGCUUAGCAUAGAACAAAUCACCUCUUUAUUGCAAUCUAUUGGGGUACAAGGGGAUUACAUCGGCACGGCGAUGCUACGCCUGCCACGGUUGCUCUAUGCAAGCAGUAGAACAACACGACGCAGCGGAAUGACUACUGGCAGCGGAACAGCGACGGCGAUGGUGAACUCCACUCCGCAGGGACUCUGGCUAGAACGCUUAUCCUAGCGCGCAAACAAGGGAUCCACGGCAAACAAGCAAUCAUAUCCGGCGUGACCUGCAAACUGGCAUGACACGCCAGGUCAGUACAUGGAAUGUACUUGCAAGCUCACAGCAACCAAAGCAAUCAAGACAAACAAUAGCAUGGCAAUUACCGGUUAACAAGGAUUAACAUGAUACUAUCAGAUCAAUCAUAGCAUUAACAAGAUGAUACAAGUAGAACAAUACGAGCAUGGCAUAAACAUAUGAACUUGAUGAUACUAGCAUGCAACAUGAUGAACUAUCAUGCACCAACUUACUCUAUUCGGGUUACAUCGUAACCAUCACCUGUAUCACUUACCAUCACGUACAUCACACGAUCCUCUCAGGAUCCAAUCAAGCUUCGUAUUAACAAUACCGUAGUAAUCAUACAUGACUACAAGGAGCUUGACCUUUGCCCUUGACUCUCGCAUAACACCACAAAUAUCCAACAAGUUGGUAUUCACGAUAUCACAGUGAUCCUCUCACGAUCACAUAAAUAUCAACCAACUCCUUUCAUCAUCGAACCGGGGUUGUUAUUAAUCAAAUUAUUAUUAUUACUGUUGACCCAUA